UGUAAAUAUAAUAUUAAUUAGGAUAAAUUAUAUUUCUGAUUCUUAAACUAUAAAAUGUGUGAUAUUGUAAUAUUUUAUAUUAGUAAUUUAUUAAUAUUGAGCGGACUAAAUUAGGCCCUGUGACUUGAUGGUUAUAAUAUAAUUCGAAAAGUUCGAGUUAAAAAUUAUAAUUAAUUAAAGUUUGAAGACUGAAAGUGUAGUUUACUUUAUAAAUUAAGAGUAAGUCAUAUAGCUCAAGUUUUUGAAGAAUAUGGAUUAUUUUAUUUCUUUAACUUGGUGUUAAAAUCUUCUAAAGUUUUAUGGGUUAAAAAUAUUAUUUCUUAAUAGCUUAAGAUUUUAUAGAGAAUAACGAUCAUUUUAUUUUAUUUAACAUGACCAACGCUCAAGUUAAU
rnacentral:lncRNA from 1 species